rnacentral:rRNA from 1 species
UACGUAGGGUGCAAGCGUUGUCCGGAAUUAUUGGGCGUAAAGAGCUCGUAGGCGGUUUGUCGCGUCUGCUGUGAAAACUCGGGGCUUAACUCCGGGCCUGCAGUGGGUACGGGCAGACUAGAGUGCGGUAGGGGAGACUGGAAUUCCUGGUGUAGCGGUGAAAUGCGCAGAUAUCAGGAGGAACACCAGUGGCGAAGGCGGCUCACUGGCCCGUAACUGACGCUGAGGCACGAAAGCGUGGGGAGCAAACAGG